UCAAUCUCUUCAUCCCGAAAUCUUCCUAUUUCCUCUUUAUUUUCUUUCUUCUCCCGAAAGCAGAUUUCUCUUCUUCGACCCUCCUUCUCUCCAUCGUUCAUUGGAGUCCUUCUUCAACCCGCAAGCUCAUUCUCUCCGUCAAUCGUCCAUGUUCUCGUCAUCUUCUAGCACGAUAAUUUCUAUUCCUUGCUCCUCUCUUCGUCUUUUCUGUGCGUUCUCUACAAGGUUUUCCUUUCCCUUUUUUGUUUAGAUUUUCUGACAUUUUCUUUCCAUUAAGUGAUUGAAUCUCUGUGUAUUUUGCUUCAAAGGACCAUUGAGUAAAGAAACUGUUUCUAGUGCCGGCGAAUCAUUGUCUAGAAGGCAUUUUGAUUUCCUCCACAAAUCUGCAGCAAGAAAUCUCGAUUACCCAAAUGAUUGGUAUUUGUUGUUUAUAAAUUGGUAGGAUUGUGGUUGGACUCAUAUGAAUGUCUCUCUCUCUCUCUCUCUCUCUCUCUCUCUCUCUCUCUCUCUCUCUUUAAUCAUUUGUGUGUUGCUAUCCAGAUGUUUUAGGGUUUGAAACUUUAUGAGGAAAUAGAGUCAUUUGGUUCCCUUCUUGUUCUAAGAUUUUUCAGUUUUCUGAUUUAAAAAAUAGAAGGAAAAAAACAUUUCAGAAUAGCAAGAAAACAGUUCUAAACUUGGGUAUAAAUUAGGUUCUAAAAAAUCUAAACCCAAAUAUAUUUUGUUACAGAACAAGAGAUGACAAAAUUUCCCCUGUUUAUAACAAACCAAAUCCUCCUAGCAUUUGAGAUGAGACCCAACCCGUGUUUGUUAUAAUUUGAAGUUAGUGUUUCUCGAAUUUGAUAAUAAUUGGUGGGUUUUCUGUGUCGGGGUUGAGGUUAGGUCUAAUAAUAAUUUGGGCUCAAACAUGCAUGAUUAAUUAUAUGUUAAUUACAGCCUUAUAAUGUUUCUCUAAAAAUACUUGCCUAGCAACAACCAAGAUUUCAUUUGAGGCUUGAAAACUAUGAUUUUGAAUGAACUAUACAUGAACAAGACAAUAUACCGAUCCUGCAUAUCUGUGUUCUGAAGAAGGUACAUGUCUAUUUAUGCGUGGAAGUUGUAAAUAUAUGAGAUCCUACAUAUCUGUGUUUUUUUUCUUUUUUCUUUUUUCAUUUUCCUGCAUGCAAUAUUCUCAUUCUUUGUGGAAGUUGUAAUGUCAGUGACGAACAUAAUAGGAAUCUCUCUAAAUUAUUCACUCUGUUGUAAUGUCUAUUUUGACUCCCAAAUUUUUUUUUUCACAUUACAUUGGAACUGAAACAUAGUGUGAGAAAACUUCCAAAUUGUUUAAAAUCAGAUUUUUUGGUAGUGCUUGAUUUGGGGUCAGACUUGUUAUUUUGCCACACGUGGUUCUUCUAUGUUUGAGAAAAUAACCCCUCAUUAAUGUCUUUCUUGCUGCUCACUUAUUAUUAUGCAUACAUAGUUUAGGUUAUCCACUUUGUACCUCAAAUUUCAGUCUAUUUUACUUUAUUUUUGCAAUUAAGUGACUAUUGGGAACCCAAAACAUUAACAUGUUUAUUAUAGAAUAAUUUCUUGCAUAGAUUCCUCAAGUGGUUAUUAGGUAAAUAUAUCUCAGAUAGUGCAUGACUGUCCUUGCACAGAUUCAUGUGAUCAACCAACUCAUUUAUUGGACUUGAAUACCGGAUAACUUUUUUGACUUCUUGAAAAUUUAAUAUUUUUUAAGGAUGAACACAUAUUUUGAUGGUGACCCAUUCUUCACUACUCUCUUACAAAGUGAAGGAGAGGGUUGUAAUCCUAAUGCAACAUUCUAAUAUUAUGGUCCAAGCAAUUCCCAAUAAUGGUGAAAAGAGGUAUUUUUCAAAAAAAGUUUAAAGAUGUGCAUCUUUCACUAUAGAGGAAGAUAACCUCCUCAUCUCAACUUGGCUCAACAUUAGCAUUGAUGCGAUAAAGGGUAUUGAUCAAAAGUUCACUCAAAUGUAAGAAAUGAUUACCAUAUUUUAUCAUGAGCAUAAAAAACCGAACAUUGCCAACCAUUCUGAGAGCUUUUUGAUGAAUUGGUGGUCCACGAUUCAAAAAUGGACCAAUAAAUUUUGUGCAUAUGUAGCACAAGUAGAGUUAUUGUACCCAAGUAGUGCAACGGAGUAAAACAAGGUAUGUACUAUUUCCUUUUAGUCAUGCAAUUAUGUAGGGCUUAUUUAUGAACUAACAAAUUUUUUUUAUACCUUUGUAGAUUGAGAAGGAAAAUAUGUUGUACUAAGAGAUGCUAAAGUGUAAUUUUAUAAUGGAGCAUUGUUAGUGUCUCUUGAGAUACCAACCAAAAUGGCAGCAACACAUCUCUACCCUUAGUAAGAAGAGAAGGCCACAAGAAAUUAAGUUUGGUGAAGUUGCUGUUGAUAUAACCGAGGAGGACUUGGAGACCUCCUCGAUUAAGUUCUUGCUAAGAGACCUCCAGGCAAAAAAGCUGAAAAAGAAAGGGAGAGGAAGCGGAAGUUGAUGGUAGGCAACAGUAGUGAGAUCAAGAAUGCCUUAGCUAAGAUGAUUAAGGAUAGAGUGACGAUCAUGGAAGAGUGGAGAAAUGCUGCGUUGAAGGCAGACCGCGAAAGAUCAGAAAUGUUUGAACUAAAGAAGCAGAAGUUUGAGGCAAAGAUGAUGAGGCUAGAUCUAAGUGGCACGAAUGCCAUGCAACACGAAUAUUUCCAUAAUAUUCAACUCAGAAUUUUUGAGGCAUCAAGGUCCAGUCGAAAUCCUACUCCCUCUCUCCAUCUUCUUAUUCUCUUCCUCCUCCCUCUCUCCAUCAAUCUUCUUCUUUUAGUACUCUUGCUUCCUUUUGUGGGUUGUUUGAAGAUUUUGCCAUAGUUUGGCUUCUGUGGCAUUGAGGAUCAUCGAGCAACGACUACCCUGAAAGACAACCACAAGAAGGCACUAACACAACCUUGGUUGUCCAUCUCUUUGUGAGAUCCUCUAUGGGUGGCCUUCAAGAACCACCAUGGCUGCAGUACGACGUGGCUUUGAGUUGUGUUUGCUUUUUUGUUCUAGAUCUACUCUUAGAUUUGAUCUCAAAAUUCAUAUUUUAUUUUCUAUUUAUUUGCAGAUCUCAGAAUCCUUGAUGUGCUCUAAUAUCUGGGUGUUGUUUUUUUUUUUUUUAAUUUAUUGCAGAUUCUUUUCAAACAAGCAAGACACUCGGUUGAUUCCAUGUGUUUUUAAGCUUUUACCCUGUAUCGUUUCUGAGUCUUUAGGGUCUUUGUGACAUUGAGCUUUUACCAUAUAUUGUUUGAUUUUGUUUAUGGGUCUUUAUGCAUGGUUGAGUUUAUUCACCUCACCAUGAUCUGAGCAUGCCUAUUAUUUUGACAUUUUUGCAUUGAGUGGAUUUCACAAAUGAUUCCCAAGUUUUAGAUGGGUUUCUAUGAUUGAUCUUUAUUAUUAUUGCUGCUGGUUUAUAUGGGAGUUAAUGUUAAUUAAUUGUAGUUUGAUCAUUGCCAUAUGUUCAUCUAGUGGUUUGUGUAGUCUGUGAUCUAAAGUAGCUUUUGGCCUCUAGGUUGUUUAAUAGACAAAAUGUUAUUGAUACAGUGACUCUGACUCGAUGGAUUGAGUCUUGUUGUUGUUGAUUAUAUCCUAUGCUUAGUUGGAUUGAGUCUUGGAUGGCUGGUAUUUCAUUGUAUUGCUUGUUGUACAUGCAAUUAUCUAGAUCUAUUUGCUGUAAGUUUUCUUGGAGCUUUUGAUGUAUUCAUUUCAUGUGCCUCAAUUACAUUUUGCAUUUGGUAUUUUAAGUCACUCAUGAAUUUGAUUUGAUGAUGGGAGACUUCUUGCAGAUUGGUAAAAUCUGAUCCUACAAUUUUAUAGCUAUUGAAAAUUUAAUCUUGACUAUUGAAAAGCUAGCAUAUAUGAAGGAUGUUACUUAUCAUCCCAUACCACACACUUUAUAUAUUUUAAUAUUAUUUUUUAUUUUAUUUUAUUCUUAUUAAACUAACUGAGUUGUUAUAUUUAUCAUCUAUACACUACAUAAUUGUUAUGGAAAAAUUUUAAAAAAAAUUAAAAUAGGUAUGGUAUGUGUGGAUGAUAAGUAGAGUUAUUGUGUAUAUGUCCUCCUAAAUGAUAAUUUGUCCUUGCCAUUUUUUGUGGUUUUGGAUAUUUUAUUAGUAGUCUAAUUUCUUUUUUUCCUGCUUCUUUUAGCAGAAUGGACUGGACUGUGCAAGGUUCAGGUACUCAGGAUGAUAAGUGGACUUGCACACAUGAGCAGCUCUACUUCAGGGUCACGUUAGGAACGGGCUAGAUGAAUUGCCUACUGAUGCUCGACACAACUAGCUUUUGUCCAUUCUAGCUCCUUUCAACCUCAAGCAUUUAUUGGUGAAUUUGCAUCUCCACAUACUUGGCACUCCUGGCUUGGUCAUCCAAACCCUUGCAACAACCACUCUUACAAUAAAAAAAUUUCAUCUACCUAUUAAUGGCCAAAGUCACAUACUCUACCUCACCCUCCCACCACCUCUAGAUUAACCAAACCUUUUAAUAUUUUGUUUCCUGAUGUUUGGGGACCGGCGCCUGUGCCCUCCACCAUUGGUUGUUGUUUUUAUUUAUCUAUAGUUAACGACUUUUCUAAAUAUAUUUGGCUUUUUUCACUUCAAUCUAAGUCCGAUGUUAUGACUAUUUUUUUAGCUUUUUCUCAAAUAUGUUAAUAAUUUCUUCUCAUUACAUGUUGCUUCCGUUCAAAUGGACUGGGGAGGGAAAUUUCUACCUUUACAUAAAUUUUUUUAAUACACUGGCAUUCGCCAUUGUGUGAUGUGUCAUUAUUCACUUGUCCAAAAUGACUGUUGAACAAAGACACCGUCAUAUUGUAGAAAUUGCUCUUUCACUUCUUGCAAAUGCCUUCGUCCUACAAAGUUUUUGGGCCAAAGCCUUUUUAACGGUAUUUUGUCUUAUCAACCAUAUGCCCACUCCAAUCCUAAAUAACAAAUCCCCAUUUCAAAUCCUUUUUCAUCAACCCCAGGAUUAUAAUUUUUUAUGAAACUUUGGAUGUCAAUGUUGGCCCAAUUUACGUCCCUUCAAUCACCACAAAUUAGACUUUCGUUUUAAAUCCUGUGAUUUUAUGGACUAUAGCCCAAUCAUAAGGGAUAUUGCUGUCUUUACAUUCCCACGGGUAAGACUUAUAUCUCCCAAGAUGUCCAAUUCUAUGAAAUUUUUUUCCCCUUUGCAUCAAUUCCUCAACCUGGGUCUGGUCAAAAUUCAGUCAAUUCAUCAUCUCCUAGCCCGUCUUACCCAUGUCUUCUUCAAAUUCCCAUUUGAUUCCCAGUUCAUCAUCUUUUGAGCCCAUCUUACCUUCAAGCUUGCUAUUACAGCCCACCUUUUCACCUCAUCAUAUUUCUCAAACUGAAGCCCAUAAUGCAUCUUCUCAAUCACCUAGGCCACCCCUUCACAAACUGAAUUUCCAGCGCUGCAACUGUCUCCUCUACGCAAUCCCUCUUUGCAACUCCAAGCCACCCCAUGGUUACAUGCUCCCCCAACAAUAUUCAUCGCCCCCUUCACCGUUCUGAUGGCACCAUACCCUGGCCACCCUUAAAACCCUCCCUACAUCUAACGAGCUCUACCUAUACUCCUAUCCUAGAAGAACCAACCUCCUUCAUGGAGGCUUCCAUGUAUCCCAAAUGGCGUGCAACAAUGGCUUCUGAAGUUGAAGCACUUCUCCUUAACCAAACAUGGGAUUUAAUCCCUUACUCUUUCUCUCUUAACAGUCUUGGGUGCAAAUGGGUUCUUAAAUCCAAACAGCAUCCCGAUGGCACUCUUGAGCGACGCAAGGCUUGCCUUGUCGUGAAAGGGUUUCAUUAGCAAGCUGGGGUUGAUUUCACAGAAACUUAUAGCCCCAUCGUCAAACAUGCGACCAUGCAUCUUCUCCUCUCUAUUACUGUUUUCCUCUGGUUGGUCAUUACAUCAGUUGGAUAUUCAAAAUGCCUUCCUGCAUGGUGACUUGGAAGAAGAUGUUUACAUGCAUCAACUGUCGGAGUUUGCAAAUCCGGAUUACCCCACUCAUAUCUGCAAAUUGGGUGGUCAUUGUCACAGGAAUCAGUUGUGGUCUUCUGUGUCUACUGACUGUUUAUAAUUAUGCUCACCGCAAGGGAUUGAUUGGUUCUUGAAUUCAAACCAACACAUCAAGUAUUCGUGCUGUAAAGGAGUCUUGAGCUUGAACACCAUGACUCUCUUAUCAUAGGCAGUAUCCUAAACUAAUUGCUCUGUCUCUCUCUCUGAAGGGAACUUUCAACCAAGAUCGCUCCCCUGUGGCAGCAGUGUUUUAAUGCCAAGGAAGCAUGGCGAGUUCAUUAAAUUAUCGACAAUCUGAUUUAUUGGUUUUAGGAACCAACUCAUACAAGUGUAAAAAUAGUCGCCAGAAUAAGUUAUUGUUUCGAUUUUGUCUCACAAUUCUUCUUAUUGUUCUUUAUAGGUAAUCAAUAUUUGGUUGAAACGUUGGAUAUAAGGUGAAUAUUUACACAUACUUGGGAAAGAAUGACAAUUUGACUAUGACC